GAUGAACGCUGGCGGUCUGCUUAACACAUGCAAGUCGAACGGGUGUAGCAAUACAUUAGUGGCGGACGGGUGAGUAACGCGUGAGAAUCUGCCAACAGGACUGGGACAACAGUGGGAAACCGCUGCUAAUCCCGGAUGUACCGCAAGGGAAAAGAUUUAUCGCCUGUUGAUGAGCUCGCGUCUGAUUAGCUAGUUGGUGGGGUAAAGGCCUACCAAGGCAUCGAUCAGUAGCUGGUCUGAGAGGACGAUCAGCCACACUGGGACUGAGACACGGCCCAGACUCCUACGGGAGGCAGCAGUGGGGAAUUUUCCGCAAUGGGCGAAAGCCUGACGGAGCAAGACCGCGUGAGGGAGGAAGGCUCUUGGGUUGUAAACCUCUUUUCUCUGGGAAGAACAAAAUGACGGUACCAGAGGAAUCAGCAUCGGCUAACUCCGUGCCAGCAGCCGCGGUAAAAC
rnacentral:rRNA from 1 species